rnacentral:tRNA from 1 species
AUUUAUAUAGUUUAACAAAAACAAUACAUUUUCAUUGUAUUAAUAAUAAUUUUAUUAUUUAUAAAUA